GACGAACGCUGGCGGCGUGCUUAACACAUGCAAGUCGAACGGAAAGGCCCUGCUUUUGUGGGGUGCUCGAGUGGCGAACGGGUGAGUAACACGUGAGUAACCUGCCCUUGACUUUGGGAUAACUUCAGGAAACUGGGGCUAAUACCGGAUAGGAGCUCCUGCUGCAUGGUGGGGGUUGGAAAGUUUCGGCGGUUGGGGAUGGACUCGCGGCUUAUCAGCUUGUUGGUGGGGUAGUGGCUUACCAAGGCUUUGACGGGUAGCCGGCCUGAGAGGGUGACCGGCCACAUUGGGACUGAGAUACGGCCCAGACUCCUACGGGAGGCAGCAGUGGGGAAUAUUGCACAAUGGGCGGAAGCCUGAUGCAGCAACGCCGCGUGCGGGAUGACGGCCUUCGGGUUGUAAACCGCUUUCGCCUGUGACGAAGCGUGAGUGACGGUAAUGGGUAAAGAAGCACCGGCUAACUACGUGCCAGCAGCCGCGGUGAUACGUAGGGUGCGAGCGUUGUCCGGAUUUAUUGGGCGUAAAGGGCUCGUAGGUGGUUGAUCGCGUCGGAAGUGUAAUCUUGGGGCUUAACCCUGAGCGUGCUUUCGAUACGGGUUGACUUGAGGAAGGUAGGGGAGAAUGAAAUUCCUGGUGGAGCGGUGGAAUGCGCAGAUAUCAGGAGGAACACCAGUGGCGAAGGCGGUUCUCUGGGCCUUUCCUGACGCUGAGGAGCGAAAGCGUGGGGAGCGAACAGGCUUAGAUACCCUGGUAGUCCACGCUGUAAACGGUGGGUACUAGGUGUGGGGUCCAUUCCACGGGUUCCGUGCCGUAGCUAACGCUUUAAGUACCCCGCCUGGGGAGUACGGCCGCAAGGCUAAAACUCAAAGGAAUUGACGGGGCCCGCACAAGCGGCGGAGCAUGCGGAUUAAUUCGAUGCAACGCGUAGAACCUUACCUGGGUUUGACAUGGAUCGGGAGUGCUCAGAGAUGGGUGUGCCUCUUUUGGGGUCGGUUCACAGGUGGUGCAUGGCUGUCGUCAGCUCGUGUCGUGAGAUGUUGGGUUAAGUCCCGCAACGAGCGCAACCCUUGUUCACUGUUGCCAGCACGUUAUGGUGGGGACUCAGUGGAGACCGCCGGGGUCAACUCGGAGGAAGGUGGGGAUGACGUCAAGUCAUCAUGCCCCUUAUGUCCAGGGCUUCACGCAUGCUACAAUGGCUGGUACAGAGAGUGGCGAGCCUGUGAGGGUGAGCGAAUCUCGGAAAGCCGGUCUCAGUUCGGAUUGGGGUCUGCAACUCGACCUCAUGAAGUCGGAGUCGCUAGUAAUCGCAGAUCAGCAACGCUGCGGUGAAUACGUUCCCGGG
rnacentral:rRNA from 1 species